UCUAUGGCUUGUGUCAGUUGCUAUGUUUGAUUUCAUUUAUUUAAAAGAAAAUAUAAAAACCCAUGAAAUAUGAAUUGGAGAAGAACGCAGACAAAAUAGAAAACUGUCACUCUGGUCAAUGGCGAUACAAUUGUGCCUUUCCUGUGCUCCAUUUGCUGUUCUUUUAUAGAAUUUGAAAGAUACUACAUUUAAUAUGCAUCCUGAACAAUUUGCCUACCAUAAGAAUACUUUGGACUUCACUUUAGACUUUUAAAGAAAGCACUUCGAACAAUUCGCCUACGGAGUUUUGUCUGUGUUUUGGGUUAUUGACUGUAAUUGUGAUGGACAUCAGAACGUUGUUACAGAAUUAUUUUUGCCAGUUGAUGCACGCGACAUU